UGCAACGUACUUUAUAAUGGGUGGCUCCCCCCUCCCCCGGCCACUCUUUUUUAUUUUUGCAGUAGUGAGUGGGAAGAUUAGGUAGAGGUUAUGAGUAUUGGCCCCAUGUAUUAAGUGACUCUCUCUCUCUCUCUCUCUCUCUCUCUCUCUCUCUCUCUCUCUCUCUCUUAAACACACGCUAUAUGAUUUUCAAAGAAGUCGAUAUCGAGAAUAUUAAAAUCUGGUAGGUCCCCCCUCUGAAAAAACAGUAGAUUAAAUAGAUAUUGGUAAAUCGGCUGUUUCUUUCGACACGAUUCCUGGAUCCGCCCUUGAUCCUCUCGCUUCUUCAGGAUGCUGAUCGCGCAGACUCCACAUGACGUCAUUUAAGGCAUUUGAAUUUCUUUCAACGCGGAGUGUUGGACGAGUGAAUAUAUUUGAUCAACAUGUUUGCAGCGAUAUAUUAUACCGAUGACAGGAAAAUAGAAGUGGUCCAUUCUAAGAAGUGAAUCGGUUGGAAAAUGCAAACAAACAUUCACAACUUUCAACUUGUUGUAUAGAGACUGUGACAAAGUGUAGCUACUUGAUGAUGCGCGGGGCGGGAGAGUUGGAUUCAGAGACGUGAUGUCGACUACGAUGUGUGUAAACAAAGGUAAGCAUUUCUUUCGUAUAAAUUUCAAGUGCAAUCACAUGGGCCUGUCACGAAUUUGAUCCUUCUCUAUAUAGACUAUACAAUAAAUUAUAGUGCGGGGGCCUAAAUUUUGCAGCCCUUCACCGGCAAUGGUGACGUCUCGAGAGGGAAGUAAAACAUAGCGCAGAUUUCAAUUCACUGCGAUGAUUUACAUGGAUGUCGUUAGACGAAAAUAUCGAGAUUAAAGAUGUGUUUCUUAAUUAGAUCUUAGGAGUCGGCAGUGUUAUCUGUAAUUAAGGGUGUACAAUAUAAAUAACAAACACUAAGCUCUUCGCGAUCGAAGCGACAGGAAUGCAACCCAAUUUUGGCAAAACACAACACGCGGCCCGGUAUGAUUUAACUAAAUAUGACAGUGGAAAUGUCCCACCUGAUUUCUGGAACGACCACGGUAAAUAACGUUGACAAUUUAGAUUUAUGAAACAUUACAAUGUGUAAUAUACAUAAUAUAUUUUUGAAAAUACAUAUUUCUAGACUGACCUGACUACAAUUUUAUUUCUACGUUACAUGAAUGUGGGGAAAAAUACUCGUCUUAUGAUUCUUCUUUUAUUUUAUUUUUUAUUUUUGUAGAUUAAGCUUGAUGAAUCCUACAACUUAACCUGUUAAUAGAUGCGAGCAAGAUUACCAGGCGGCGCCGGACUUGGACUUGUUGCUGCAUUAUUUUACUCCGACAUAUCUGGCAGCACACUCGACAGCAAAUAGAAUACUAUACUGCUAAUUCAAGAAUACUUACAAAAGCAGUUCAAAUGUGAUAAUGCCACACCCCUCAUAAAAAGAAAAUGCUUGGACAUUGCCAGAAGCCCGAAAUUGAUUGAUUCAGUGUUACAUUGAAUUUAUAGGACGUGUACUAGACAUGAAAUCUGCAAAAUGGACUUUUCCUUGUUGUGCCUACAUUUCUUAAAUGUUAACUGUAGCACACUCGUGCUUGUUGCUCCAAUGGAAGCAGCCAUUUCGGGCAUAGUAAGAUCCAGAUUGGACCAGAAACAAUUUUUGUUCCGGAGUUUAAAAGCAGUCGGGGGUUUUGAGUCCAGGUCGGUCGGGCAACAGGAAACGGACAUAAACUUGAAGAAACAGGCUUUAGAGGAAUACACCAAGAAAAUGUAAAAAUGUGAAAGAAAAUUGUAUUUAUGACAUAUAAUACAUUUUGAUGUAUGCUUUCAUCAUUUUGUUGAUGGCAGUGAUCAACUGUUGAAUGUUCAAGUCCAGUUUUAUUUUUCUUAAACAAUGUUGUAGAAUAAGCAGCAAAAAGAAUGUGCAUUUACCUGAUCAUGUACCAUUUGCAUUUCAACUUUCUAUGUAUGUGUUUUUUGCUUCAUUCUAUUUUGUACAAUUCAUGAGUUUGCAUAGAACAUGAGUUGGCACACAUGUGGAAAUUUGUUUUAUUGGUAUUUCAAAUGCCAAGUACAAAAUAAUUUGACUGGUAGUGGGUUGUGAAAACAAAAAAUUGAUUCUAUUUUUCUUUAUUGUUAUAUUUGUAUUUCAUUACAUUGUCAACAAAAUUUCAUUAAGCAGUUUUCCUGUUAAUAGUAAAUAAUUAAAAAAGAAAAGAUUUUUCAAUGGAUUUUUAAUGUAUAUUUAUGAACUAUUAUUUAUUUUUCCAUUGAUUUUACAGUUAAUUUUGAUGUCAUUUAACUGGCUCAAGCUCAUUUACAUAUUUCGCUUAUUUCAAUGAGGUUUCAAUGGAGUUUCACUGCAUUUUCAAUGAAAACUGGAAAAUCACUGGCUCAAGCUCAUUUACAUAAUUCGCGUAUUUCAAUGAGGUUUCAAUUGAGUCUCAAUGGAGUUUCACUGCAUUUUCAAUGAAAACUGGAAAAUCAAUGCUUUUUCUAGGUUAGAAUUGUAUUGUUAGUUUUAUUUGAAUUUGUGAUACUGGUAUAACACUGUUCUUUCAAUGGUCAGAAUAAAACUACAAAAGUAAUGGAAA